rnacentral:rRNA from 1 species
UACGUAGGGUCCGAGCGUUGUCCGGAAUUAUUGGGCGUAAAGAGCGUGUAGGCGGCCAGGUAGGUCUGCUGUGAAAACUCGAGGCUCAACCUCGAGACGUCGGCGGAAACCAUCUGGCUAGAGUCCGGAAGAGGAGAGUGGAAUUCCUGGUGUAGCGGUGAAAUGCGCAGAUAUCAGGAGGAACACCAAUGGCGAAGGCAGCUCGCUGGGACGGUACUGACGCUGAGACGCGAAAAGCGUGGGGGAGCAAAACAGG